rnacentral:rRNA from 1 species
GGGAUUACCUCAGUAACGGCGAGUGAAGCGGUAACAGCUCAAAUUUGAAAUCUAGCGCUUUCAGCGUUCGAGUUGUAAUUUGUAGAAGAUGCUUUGGGUGAGGCUCCGGUCUAAGUUCCUUGGAACAGGACGUCAUAGAGGGUGAGAAUCCCGUAUGUGACUGGCUGCCUUCGCCUAUGUAAAGCUCUUUCGACGAGUCGAGUUGUUUGGGAAUGCAGCUCUAAAUGGGAGGUAUAUUUCUUCUAAAGCUAAAUAUUGGCCAGAGACCGAUAGCGCACAAGUAGAGUGAUCGAAAGAUGAAAAGCACUUUGGAAAGAGAGUUAAACAGUACGUGAAAUUGUUGAAAGGGAAGCGCUUGCAACCAGACUUGCCUGCCGUUGAUCAUCCUCCCUUCUGGGUGGUGCACUCAGCGGUGGUCAGGCCAGCAUCGGUUUUGGUGGUGGGAUAAAGGCCUUGGGAACGUAGCUCCUCUCGGGGAGUGUUAUAGCCCUCGGUGCAAUGCCGCCUACCGGGACCGAGGACCGCGCUUCGGCUAGGAUGCUGGCGUAAUGGUUGUAAGCGACCCGUCUUGAAACACGGACCAAGGAGUCUAACAUCUAUGCGAGUGUUUGGGUGUUAAACCCAUACGCGUAAUUAACGUGAACGGAGGUGAGAACCCUUUAGGGUGCAUCAUCGACCGAUCCUGAUGUCUUCGGAUGGAUUUGAGUAAGAGCAUAGCUGUUGGGACCCGAAAGAUGGUGAACUAUGCCUAAAUAGGGUGAAGCCAGAGGAAACUCUGGUGGAGGCUCGCAGCGGUUCUGACGUGCAAAUCGAUCGUCAAAUUUGGGUAUAGGGGCGAAAGACUAAUCGAACCAUUAACUACUAGGUGGUUAAGACUUAUGCAGAAGUGUAUAAGUAGUCCGUAGCGGGCAACACUGUCAAAUUGCGGGGACCUCCUGUUACAGUACUACUACCGCAGCUAUGGCGAAAGCUAUAGCGCGCACCAGGUUAAUGGCCUUGGGGAUGGUAAUAACGUAGUACUAGGGACAACCUGCAGCCAAACCCUAACCACGGGUGCAGUUCACAGACUAAAUGUCAGUGGGGUAUGCUUAGAGCGUACUCUAAGUUAUAGUCGAUCCUCUGUAGUAAUACAGAGUAAGGACAGCUAGUAGCUGGUUCCUGCCGAAGUUUCCCUCAGGAUAGCAGUGUUGAAUUCAGUUUUAUGAGGUAAAGCGAAUGAUUAGAGGCCUUGGGGCUGAAACAGCCUUAACCUAUUCUCAAACUUUAAAUAUGUAAGAAGUCCUUGUUACUUAAUUGAACGUGGACAUUCGAAUGUACCAACACUAGUGGGCCAUUUUUGGUAAGCAGAACUGGCGAUGCGGGAUGAACCGAACGGGAAGUUAAGGUGCCGGAAUGCACGCUCAUCAGACACCACAAAAGGUGUUAGUUCAUCUAGACAGCAGGACGGUGGCCAUGGAAGUCGGAAUCCGCUAAGGAAUGUGUAACAACUCACCUGCCGAAUGAACUAGCCCUGAAAAUGGAUGGCGCUUAAGCGUGCUACCCAUACUUCCCCGCUGGGGUAGAAACGAUGCCCCAGCGAGUAGGCAGGCGUGGAGGUCCGUGACGAAGCCUUAGCAG